rnacentral:rRNA from 1 species
UUCGACCGCGACCCCAGGUCAGGCGGGACUACCCGCUGAGUUUAAGCUUAACAUAAGCCGGGAA